rnacentral:rRNA from 1 species
CUACGGGCGGCUGCAGUGGGGAAUAUUGCACAAUGGGGGAAACCCUGAUGCAGCAACGCCGCGUGGAGGAUGACGCAUUUCGGUGUGUAAACUCCUUUUAUAUAGGAAGAUAAUGACGGUACUAUAUGAAUAAGCACCGGCUAACUCCGUGCCAGCAGCCGCGGUAAUACGGAGGGUGCAAGCGUUACUCGGAAUCACUGGGCGUAAAGCGCGCGCAGGCGGUUUGAUAAGUUGGAUGUGAAAGCCUACGGCUCAACCGUAGAACUGCAUCCAAAACUGUCAAACUAGAGUCUGGGAGGGGAAGAUGGAAUUAGUUGUGUAGGGGUAAAAUCCGUAGAGAUAACUAGGAAUACCAAAAGCGAAGGCGAUCUUCUGGAACAGUACUGACGAUGAGGCGCGAAGGCGUGGGGAGCAAACAGGAUUAGAUACCCCGGUAGUC